UUUGCGAGCCUGGGACCGCCGCGCUGCUGGUGCUGCUGCCGCUGCUGCUGCCGUUGCCGCCGCUGCUGCUGCUGCCGCCGCCACCCCCUGCAGCUGGCGUGACUCUCGGCCCGCGCCGUGCCCUCCCUCUUUUCACUGCCAGCUCGACUUCCCGCCCGCCCAGACGCCGCUUCUUCCAAGCUCCAGAUCUCGGCUCCGCGGAGGGAGAGGAAAUGAGUGCGGCCGCGGCGCCGGCGUCCGAGCGCGGUUGGAAGAGCGAGAAAGUGGACGAGGCUCAGGCCCUGGCGCGGAGUUGCGCUGCCCGCAGACCCGACUUCCAGCCAUGCGACGGGCUCUCCAUCUGUGCCACACACAGCCACGGCAAGUGCUUCAAGCUGCACUGGUGCUGUCACCUAGGAUGGUGUCACUGCAAAUACGUGUAUCAGCCGAUGACCCCCGUGGAACAGCUUCCAAGCACUGAGAUUCCUGCGAAGCCUCGGGAGCCCACAAACACCAUUCAGAUCUCCGUCUCCCUCACUGAACACUUUCUGAAAUUUGCAUCUGUCUUCCAGCCUCCCCUCCCCCCUGACUCACCAAGGUACUGUAUGAUCUCAGACCUCUUUAUUGACAACUAUCAGGUUAAAUGUAUUAAUGGAAAGAUGUGUUAUGUGCAGAAGCAGCCGGCGCCACAUUCCCACAAAAUGAGCCCUGAGGAGGUCUCUGCACACGAUGCCUUAAUUUCAAAAGAGAGCAAUACACCAAAAAUAGAUCACUGCUCUUCUCCCUCAAGUUCUGAGGACUCUGGGAUCAAUGCCAUCGGGGCUCACUAUGUGGAAUCGUGUGAUGAGGACACAGAAGAAGGAGCCGAACUGAGUUCAGAGGAAGAUUACAGUCCGGAGAGCAGCUGGGAACCGGACGAGUGCACCCUCCUGUCCCCCUCGCAGUCUGAUCUGGAAGUGAUUGAAACAAUAGAAACCACCGUGUGAGGGUCCAGGCUGGAAGCCGGGUCCUCUGAUCCAUGCUGAGCUUUUGUACUUUUGUCUGAUGGAUCCUUUUCCACUGCAGUCGGUGUUUUCUACCCUCUCUAGCAACCAUAGCAGUUCAGUGGUCUGCUGAUUUAGCUUCACUUUUAAAUUAGUCUUAUAACUAAGAUAUUCUUUUUCUUAUACAUAGUUUUCUUUUGUAUCUUGACUUUCUUUCUAUGUAGCAUCUGGUGUCAUGAAUUGUGACCCAGCCUUAAUUUCACUGGGAACUUUGAAAGCAGUGAAGCGAUGAUCACAGAGCAUCGUGGAUCAGGUUGAGGAGCUGCCCAGAGUGAAGGAGGCACUAUUUUCUCAGUAGCCAGUUCUUUGCAGAACAGCUCUUUGGCAUUCCUUGUGGCGAGCUGACAGGCACCGCCACCCAACUAGUCCCAUGUGGAGACUGGUUCACGUGACCCCUCGAGGUGUGCACUGGUAGAUGCUGCUCCGUCCCUGUCCCUGUCUCCCCACCGCCCGCACUGGGUUUGGGCCAGUGUGGCCUCAGCUUGCUUCUAGGAGGUCACUGGAGGCCAGCUUGGCCCCUAGUAAUGCACAACCUCUGUGAUCUGGGGCUGAGCUAGACCUCACUUCAGAAGAAAUGACGUCUCUAAUUUCAUGCUCAAUCCAGCAUUAGCUGAGUGCCUGCACUCUUCAGGGUGCUGUGGGGAUGCACAGUGAAUAAGGCCUGCCUCCCAGCAUCCACGGAUCAUAGUCCAGUAGGGACAGUAACCUGUGCAGGUCAUGGGACCCAGAGUGCCCUGGGGACUCAGGGGAGGGAGAGAGGUGCUUGGCUUGGGCUAUCUGGGGAGAGUGGUGUAGCUGGCCUUUGGGGUGGGUUCCCCAAAAUUUUAAAUAAGUUUUGAAAAUUGUUCUUCAAGUCUGGGGAAAACUUUAGGAAGCUAUAUAGGUAUUAUAUUUAGGAGGCAGCCACAUCUAAUGUCUUAAGAAAAAAAUCAAGAAUAGUUUUAGUUAGCAUGGAAAUGCUAAAGACAGCAGUCCUUUAGGGAUUAGGAAUGAAUCUAAUAGGUUUGAUUAAUUCUGCUUCAUUUGGUUGUAUGAAGCAUUAGAAUGGCUUAGGUGAGAUAUGGAUUAGAAUUCAGUAUGAUGCAUGGACUUUUUUUAUGCAAAUGCAAAAGCAGUUGAAAUAGUUCGCUGCUAAAUCAGGAGAAAAUAUUUUGUGUAAUAUUCACUUUAUUACAGUAAUAUCCAUGGUCUGUUGUAUGUUCUCUUUUCCUACACACAUAAAGUAGUGAAUGAUUCUUAUUUAGCUCUCUUCAGAAUCCUGCUCCUGAUAGCCAUUUGUAACAGGUGUUCUUGUGUGAGUCAGUUAGCUGCCGUUUCUCCAAAUGUACUGGCUGUGAAGCAUAGUUAGGAAUCCAGGAAAUUUAAAAUAUGGCCCAAAUGGAACCAGAACUAUCAAAGUGGGAGAGAGAGAACUACUUCUCAUACCCUCACUGUCCACAAGUGUGCGCCCAUGGCAUUUUCUCCUGCUCUGUCAGCAUGUGACACAUCUGUUCUAUGUCAGGGUUUAUGUUUUAAGAAAGAAGAGGCCCGUUCACUGAGGGCUCCGCUUGGCAUCCUUCACCAAUCACUGUAGGCAGAACCUGCUUUCCGAGUUGUAUGUGUAGUUCAGGUGAGCACCUAGAGCAUUUUGUUAGGUUUAGGUGCCCCGAACAUCUGCAGGGUUUGGAGAGCGGAGUGUGUGUGUUCCUUUGAGGACAGGCUGAGUUAACACUUCCUGUGAGGGUGAGAGUACAGCCAGCACGAAGUUCCCACCUCGUAGCACAUGAAGACUCAACAAGUCAAACUGAGAAGGUGGGUGGGUAGCAGAGCUCCAGGGCCAGUGAAGCCCAGGAGAGAUGGCAGAGGUGGGUGUGAGGAGAGGGGUGUAGGGACAGACAGCUGAUGAGCCCAGCCCGGGGCUCUCAGUGCCACCUGCCUGCCUGGGAUUGAGCAGCCAGCUGGAGGCAGCUUGGAAGCUGAGAGCUUGGGAGCAAGGCCAGGGGCCUGUCUAUACCUAGCCCUGUGUGAGCUCAUUGCACCCUCUAUGUGGAAACAUAGAGAGUCUUCUCUUUCUACACCAUUGCCACCAGUUCUCUCCUCUGUCCGUUAAUCUAAUUGGAGUCAACCACCAGAGCUCCAAAGCCAUGGAAUCCAUGGGCACAGGGCCCCGUUUCUGAGGCCAGCUGGGUCAGGGUUGGGCCCUUUAUCAGUGUAAUAUCUGUGACUUUUGCCUAGGUUCCUGUUUUCUAAACUCCUGAACUGCCAUUCAGAUUAACCACAAUUUUAAUGGAAUUUUUGGAUUUGACACUGGUUGAUGAUCACUUUAAAUAUUUGCACAAUCUCUUUAUAAUUGAAAACUCACUAAGCUUCGCUUACUACUAUUUUAUACAAUUGGAGAUGUUCCAUUGGAUUCUAAAUAUCAGAUGUUCCUGGAUCUCAAAAUAGCCUUUUCUAAAUAAGCACAAGCAAGAUUUUUUUUUUUUGUCCUAGCACUGUUAAUAUUAAUAAGUCUCUGAAAAUCAUGUAUGAUUGACCAGAAUUGUUUCCUUAUGCUUGCAUUCCAAGAACAACUGAUAAGGAUAUAAAAAUAUAUAGUUUCAACUUAAAUUCUAGGCCUAUUCUGUUCUAUAUUACAUGAAAGAGUUUCUCGGUAAUCCAUAUAUUAUAUUGCUCCUUUGUAUAAACAUAUUUAUAGGCACUUUAGAGAAUGUUUAGACUGCAGUGUGUAUUAUAGACAUUGAACACAGUCAUGUUAAAUAGGCUUUUGAUUAAUACUUGUACACUGAGAGAUAUGAAAGCUUUAUAAUUUGGAUCAUAUAGUACAUGCUGACUUGGGGCAAAGAGUUGGGCUGUGGGAAUGGAAAACUGCUUUCUUGGGCUUUUGUCAAAAACUGGCACCAUUCCCACUUUUUGAAAGUUGAGAUGAAAGCUGUUAGGGAGAAGAUACAAAGUAAGUGCUGUGUGGAAUUUAGCUUUCUUAUCUGACCAAGAUUUCUUUUAGAAUUUUCAAGUUUCACAUAUGUUCAUGAUUUUUCUGAGAAAUGACAAAGCUUUUAAAAUGCUUUUGUAGUUAUAACUAUUUGGUACAUUAACCAUUGAAACUUUACAGUCAAAUCUAGGUAUUUUCAAGAUUUGAAAUGCAAAUUUGAGGAAAACCCUGAAGAAAAACAGUUGCUUUCCUGGAAGUGGAAGACCUGUGGUUCCAGUUUUCUGAAAUGAAUUGACAUUACCAUUAGAAUCAGACACAAGCCCAGGAAGCUGUUUUGAAGAUGGUGAGCCCAGGACAGUGAGCGCUGGUAGAGCCUGACCUUGCCCAUGAGUUCAGGCAGCAAGGUACCGACCUGCCUGGGGGAGGGAUGAAAGGCCAGACCACAGAGUGUGUGUCCUGGAACCACCUGGCUUCCACAAGGAGUGACCUCAGUCCAACUGGAAGGGCCUUGGGCCAGUGGGUUGGUGAAAGGAGACGAUUUGUUUCUCAUUGUCUUUCUUAGUUUCCAGACCCAAACUGUGUGCAGAUUUGGAGAGGGGAGGUGAGAAAGCUUGGGCUGGGAUGGGACCUUGUAGGCCUCUAUGGCAGGUAGCCUCUCACCUAGUGUACCGUCCAGAUGAUUGAUCCCAGGAAGGAGAUCUGGAGCAUCACUGCAAGAUGGUGACAGAAAGGACCCCGUUGUGGCCCUGGAACCCCCCAGCAUCUGAAGGGGGACUGAGCAAGCAUUUCCCCAGACGUCACCUUACCUCUCAAACCCAGCAACUCUGUGUGGUGGGUGGGGCAGGAUACUUUCAUGAGUUCAUGGCCAAAGCAUCCAAGAGCCAAGUCAACAAUAAACGGAGGUGAGUCGCUAUACACGGCAAGUACACAGCAGGGUCAGAGCCCCAAACCGCAAUUGAUUCCAAAUCCAGCCGGUGUCACCCGCGCGUGUGGAGUCCCUGCACUCACCCCUGCCCCCUCCUGCUUAGUCCUGUUCCCACUGCCUCCCUCGACUCUCUCUCCUCUCAACACCUGAAGCCCCGAGGCUGUCUGCUGCACUCCCAUCCCCCAACCCCCAGGAUAGCCCUGGCUCUAGGUGUGGGCAUCUAGGGACCACAGCCCAGCCCUCCAGGCAUCGCUCAAUGCUGUGCUUGUUGUUAAGUCACUCUGGCUUUCUGCCCAGCCUGGCUUGGCCUUGACCCAGGUCUGGCCUGAGACUCAGAUGAGACUCAGAUGAGACCCAGACACUUUUUAGGCUUGGGGUGGGGAGUGGUAAUGUGUACUGGAUCUAAGAACUCUCUUGGGAAUCAGCCUCAGGUCUUAGUACUUCGGUAUCAGUUGCUGCUGACUCUCCUGUUCCCAGCCCUGCUGAAGUGGGGCCUUUGAUACCGAUCCCUUCCUGUGCUAAGUAGCAGUCAUCACCCACUUGAGGCUGGCUUCCCAGGGCACUGAGUAGACUCUGACGACCCAGCCAUGAACAAGCCCCCCGUGUGGUAGACAGAGGUCUGAGUUUCCGCCUCCAGGUUUAGAAUCUGCCUGUGUGAACUGUGAUGCCAGAAUUUACCAAGCAAAUGUACCCCCAUGUAUCAGCAGAAGGACCUGGAAGAGCCAUCCCAGUGUAUCCACGACACAGGCCAGGGGCCUUUGGGCAGACCCUGUGCUGUGUCGGGAGGGGUGGGCUCACUGAGGCCUGGGUGGGAUCUGCAUAGGGAUCCACAGAUCCUGUUUUUCCUGGGGAUCUAGAGCAAUGAGAGGUGACUCUAGAGGACUUUGGAGCUGCACUGAGUAUGGAGAGGACACCAGGGUUUCCCGAGGAACCCAGGCCCUAGGUGAACAUGAGGGCCUAGACUGGGCAUCUCUGGACAGGUCACUGGGAGGUCAGCACAAGAUCAGUAGGUCCAACUAAAUUCACUUGGGUCCUUUCAGAUUACUGGGGUCCAAAACAGGUCAGUUCUUCCCCAGAGAUUUCUCACCCCAACAUUUCCAAGAGUCACAGGCAGUGAAUUCAUGGAGCUGUAAUGUGUUUCCUGAAUCAAGCAGGAAAUCACGUGGGCCGCAUGUUUUGCCUGGUACAGCCACUCAGAAUGGGAAUGAUGGGAUCGGGAGGGGUCAGCAGAGGGGUGGAUAAAGGGGGAAUGUUGGCUGGAACUCAUGUCAGGUGGGGGUACAGGUGGGAUGAUGGGCCAACAUGUUCGAGAGAAAAAAGCUCAGGUUGUGCAAGCCAUGCCGUUCCCCAAUUUGCUAGGGCCUGGGACAUGGCCUUCCCAGACUCUUAGGACCAAACUCUGCCCUUUGAGGCAGACGUAGCACAGAGUUCUGGGGGAACAGAUGGCAGGUAGGAGUGGGGGCUACUGGCUCCACUCAAUGAUUGAGAAGUGUCCUCGUGUGAGGUGGAGGCCCAAACCCACCAGCAGCCUAACGGCAGGCUCCUGGCUGGGGCAGGAGCCAGAAGCCGGGGCCUGCGCACUGAGAGCUGGGAUGGGACCGUGCAGGGGCCUCUCUGUGCGUCCUACCCAUCCCACCGCUCCCCAAGCUGGAGACAUUGAUUCAUUCACACAGGCAGGCAUGUGUUCAAAAGGUGUUACCUACACCCACCGUCUGACCCUGCCAAAUCUCUCCUAAGUUUGUACCCAACAGAAGUGCAUGCAUAUGUCCACCAAAAGACAGGAAGAAGAAUGGCAUUGGGCCAGUACUGGAAACAACCCAAAUGCCCGUUAACAACAGAAUGGCUAAGUUAUGGUAUAUUCAUACGGUGGAAUAUUACUUAGCAGAGAGAAUGAAUAACAGGGAUAAGUCUACAAACAGAACUGCGGUGAAAGAAGCCACUUCCAAGAGUAAGUAGUGGAUUUUAUUUAUAUGAAGUUCAAAACAGGUGAAAAUCGUGCUUUUAGGAGUCAGGAUGUUGGUUAACUUGCAGGGUGUGUGGGUGGUGAACAGAGUUCAGGGGACUUCAGGGGUAUAGUCAUUUCUAUUUGCUUGAUCUGGGCGCGGGUUACAUAGGUGUGUUCACUUUGUGAAUUAACCCAGCUUUGCACAUGCAGUUUGAGAACAUUUCUGUGUAUAAAAGGUUUACUUUAAAAAGACUUAGAAGAUGCUGGCAGCUGGCUUUUCUCAGCACUGACUGUGCUGUGGGAGACACAGGAGUGCACUGGACAUAGUCAUGCCUUCAGGAGUGAUGCAGACAGACAGGAAAACACCCUAGCACGGAAACAAGGUUUCAGCUGUGCUGCAGCCCGGUGCCCACAAGUCCCGACUGUGCUAGUCCUGGUCCCAAAGGCAGCAGGAGGUGACAGCCCUCGGUGUUGGCCACCAGCUAGAGGAGAUCAGGUGUGACAGGCUUGG